GUUCUUGAGUCGGGAAAUGGCCGCUGUGUGGUUGCAACGGAGAUAAAUUCCCGGAACCGCGAUUCGGCGUGUCAGGAAUUCGAAUUUAGAGUUUAAUUUCUCAGAGCAUUCUCUCCAGGAAGAAUUUUUACAGUAUCUCAAAGACUUCACUUGACUUCUUGAUCCUGCAUAAAACCAAGGAGAAAAGAAAUGGGUCGCUCCAAUUCUAGAUCACAUUCUUCAAGGUCAAAGUCUAGAUCACAGUCUAGUUCUCGAUCAAGAUCAAGAUCUCAUUCUAGAAAGAAGCGAUACAGGUGAUUUAAUGUGCUUUAAAUUUUUAAAAUAAUUAUAUCAGUUAAUACUUGUUGAAUGAGUAUCGUAAACACAGUGCUAAACCCCAAAAUGUAUUUUAUUCUCAAAGAACCCUGUGAAAUGGAUCUAUUGUUAUCCUUAUUGUAAGCGAGAAAAUGAGAAUGUCCAGGUAACAAGCUCUAGUAAAUGGCAGAGCUUGGAUUGAAAUCCAGUUAGUCUGACUCCAGGUCUCAAAUUUUACUGUAUAAUGUAUGGUAGGUUUCUUUGUAUUUGUCCACAAUG
rnacentral:lncRNA from 1 species